rnacentral:rRNA from 1 species
CACGUAGGGCGCGAGCGUUGUCCGGAAUUAUUGGGCGUAAAGAGCUCGUAGGCGGCCUGUUGCGUCCGCUGUGAAAGCCCGGGGCUUAACCCCGGGUCUGCAGUGGAUACGGGCAGGCUAGAGGUAGGUAGGGGAGAAUGGAAUUCCCGGUGUAGCGGUGAAAUGCGCAGAUAUCGGGAGGAACACCGGUGGCGAAGGCGGUUCUCUGGGCCUUACCUGACGCUGAGACGCGAAAGCGUGGGGAGCGAACAGG